rnacentral:lncRNA from 1 species
AGAGGACUUGUUGGAUAAAUAAAUUUGGGAGUCAUCAAUCAUAGAUGGUAUUAAAAUAAUGUGGCUGGAUGAGAUCACUUAUAAGCUGUGUAGGUAGGAAAGAAACAAAGGACUAAGACAGAACCUGAGGAACUACAACAUUUAGAGAUUAAGCAAAAAAGUAAGGCAAUACAAAGAAAAAUUAAAAGCAGAAGCUCAGAAAAUGAGAGGAAAAUCAGGACUGGUGUCAUAAAAGCCCUAAAGGAAAUAGUCUUUUGAGGAAGAGGUGGCCAAAGAGGACAAACCCUACUGGGAGUAACAUGCAGCCGAGGACCCACUGGAUUUGGCAGGAGAGAAGACCACUGACAAACUUGUUAAGGGAAGUUCCAUCAAGGAGAGAAAUCUAGAAGUGGAAUUGCUGAGCUGUAGAGUAUGUGAAUCUCUACAACUUUCAACUUUACCAUGUAUUGUCAAAUUGCUCUCCAAAGUGAUGGUACCAAUUAAUGAUACUACCAAUAAGACCUGCACUAUAAAAAAUGGUAGAGGAAGUUCUUCAGUAUGAAAGUGAAUGAUACCAGAUGGAAACUGAGAUCUACAAAAUGAAACAUCACUGGAAAUAGUAAAUACAUGGAGAAAGGAAGGGACAGCAACUUGGAGUCUGGAGCUGACGCAGAGGAUGUUUCUUGAUAUCUUCAACUUGAACCUGUCUCACUUGACAGAUUUAUGCUGCCAGAGUGGUUCUUCUAGUAAGAAGCCCCUUGCCAUCAGACACUGCAUUUCACUUGGUGAUUUUCCAGACUCCUCAAAUCUUUUAUGGAAAGAGGUAGAUCACGGAUACAAAUAUAAAAAGAUAAAAAUAGCAACUUGCCUUUCAAUUGAGUAAAACAAUUUAUUCAGCAUAGUAAAGAUGAAUUAAAUUUGUGGAAGUUAUCCCAUUAGAUUAUCUUUUAAAUGAUUAAUAUAAAGCCAGAAGAUGUAUUUCACUUCCAAAGGCAUAACCUGUUAAUCUCAAAAUUCUACAAUUUCUCUUUAUCUCUCCUUUUUUCUCGACCCCUUGGGUUCAUUCCCCAUCCUUGCUUUUCCAGGCUGCUGCCAUUCUUCUAAAUACACUUUCUGUAGUCUUCUAGCACCUUCACAUUCCAGUGUCCACCUUGUUGCCUUGUUGCCAGAGAGACCUUUUUCAGAUACACAUCUGAGUAUGUUAUUCUCUUUCAAUUUCUCCCCAUUACCGUCAACACAAAGUCCACACCUUUUGCAUAACAGUGCUCACAAGAAAUACUAGCUUCCUACAUCCUUUCAUUGCCUAACCUGGCGCUUAAAGCCUCCACAGUCUGUUUUCCAUCUGCUCUUAUAUUGUUAUUUUCUUCUGCCCUUUUCCACUUUACAAAUUCCCAGCCAUCCAGGACAUCUUUAUGUUCCCCAAGGAUGAGUUAAACGUUCAUAUUUCCAUGCCUUUUUUCACUUUUUUCUCUCUCUUCCCUGACUAGAAAAUUUGUAUUCCUCUUUUUAGAAUCAGCCACCUUGUGCUACAUCCUUUGUGAAGACUUAUUUGCCAGUCCCUGACAACCCCCCUUUCCCACCUGUAGAUUCAGCUCCCCUACCUCUGCACUUUCAUAGCAUCUAGUACUUACAUAUCUCUAAGAGUACACUUGGAUAUUAGCCUGUAGCAUUUGUGCACAUGGCUGUCUCUCUCAAUGGACUGUGAGCUCCUUGAGGGUAGAGACUGCCUAUCUUAUUUUAUUUUUUGAGUCAUUAGUGACAAAUAUAGUGCCUGGUACAGGGUGCUAGUAGACUGUAAUGGCUCAACAGUUAAACUACAGAUUCAAAAAGACCUGAGUGGGAAGUCCAAUGUUAGUACUUACUAGCUAAGUAAUAUUGGGAAAGUCACCUGAUUCCUCUUGAUUUUAACUUUUUUUCAUCUGUAAAAUGCAGACAAUAACAAAAUACCUAUCUUAUAAGGCUGUUGCAAAAAUUAAAUAAGUUAGUAUGUGUAG